UAAAUUAACAUCUCGGUAUCUACGUUCAAGU
rnacentral:piRNA from 1 species